UACGUAGGGUGCGAGCGUUGUCCGGAAUUAUUGGGCGUAAAGGGCUCGUAGGCGGUCUGUCGCGUCGAAAGUGAAAACUCAGGGCUUAACCCUGAGCCUGCUUCCGAUACGGGCAGACUAGAGGUAUGCAGGGGAGAACGGAAUUCCUGGUGUAGCGGUGAAAUGCGCAGAUAUCAGGAAGAACACCAAUGGCGAAGGCAGCUCUCUGGGACGGUACUGACGCUGAGACGCGAAAGCGUGGGGAGCGAACAGG
rnacentral:rRNA from 1 species